GACGAACGCUGGCGGCGUGCUUAACACAUGCAAGUCGAACGGAAAGGCCCUGCUUUUGUGGGGUGCUCGAGUGGCGAACGGGUGAGUAACACGUGAGUAACCUGCCCUUGACUUUGGGAUAACUUCAGGAAACUGGGGCUAAUACCGGAUAGGAGCUCCUGCUGCAUGGUGGGGGUUGGAAAGUUUCGGCGGUUGGGGAUGGACUCGCGGCUUAUCAGCUUGUUGGUGGGGUAGUGGCUUACCAAGGCUUUGACGGGUAGCCGGCCUGAGAGGGUGAACGGCCACAUUGGGACUGAGAUACGGGCCAGACGCCUACGGGAGGCAGCAGUGGGGAAUAUUGCACAAUGGGCGGAAGCCUGAUACAGCAACGCCGCGUGCGGGAUGACGGCCUUCGGGUUAUAAACCGCUUUCGCCUGUGACGAAGCGUGAGUGACGGUAAUGGGUAAAGAAGCACCGGCUAACUACGUG
rnacentral:rRNA from 1 species